CAGUAGCCGCGGUAACACGGAGGGUGCAAGCGUUAAUCGGAAUUACUGGGCGUAAAGCGCACGCAGGCGGUCUGACAAGUCAGAUGUGAAAUCCCCGGGCUUAACCUGGGAACUGCAUUUGAAACUGUCAGGCUGGAGUCUUGUAGAGGGGGGUAGAAUUCCAGGUGUAGCGGUGAAAUGCGUAGAGAUCUGGAGGAAUACCGGUGGCGAAGGCGGCCCCCUGGACAAAGACUGACGCUCAGGUGCGAAAGCGUGGGGAGCAAACAGGAUUAGAUACCCCGGUAGUCCCUGUCUCUUAUAC
rnacentral:rRNA from 1 species